GCCAGUGGGGUGUAGUGGUUUGAGCACUGGACUACAAUUCUGGAGACCGAGGUUCAAAUCCCUGUUCAGCCA